rnacentral:lncRNA from 1 species
UUUCUCACAUCUCCCGUCUUGAAUCAACAUUCCCUAGCAGGAAAAGCUAUCUCUCCAAAUUCAUUCAUGACAUCUCCAAUAUCCCCAGUUGUUACAUCCUCAUGUAGAGAAUGUAUUAAAAUACUUUUAUUAUGUAUAAUUAGAUUUCCAUCGUUGUCCUUAUGUUGACUCUUAAGACCUCUGACAGCUCUUGAAAGUCCCUUAAAAUUCCAUUCCUUUCUUCUAAUAACGAAUCAAUCUUGAGCAUUUGUCAAAGACACACCAAUAUCAAUUGCUUUUAAAGAAGCAUAUUAGUGGGGUAUAUUUAGCACUAUUUUUGUGAGUGAAUUUGGACAGCUUUGCCUAGUUUAGUAUUAUUCGGGGUUGCUAAACCCUCUUUGUCUAUGUUAUAUAUAUAUGACGAAAUAAUAAAUUUUGAUUUGGGGGUAAAAGUAAUUGGCUAUCUGUGGUAUUGGAGUAAUGAGCUGCCUCUUGCAGAUAGAUUAGUUUUAGAUGUUUUGAUGGUACCUAGUGAAGAUACAACUUUUGGUCAAAUACGUUUAUUAGAAAGAGAUGUACCCUUAACUUUGUCUAUUAAGAGAAUACUACAGUUUAUGGUUUCAUCAAAGGAUGUAUUACAUGCAAAGACUUGGGGUUAAAAUAGAUAAUAGUUAAAAAUCUUUUUACACCUAGGGUAUACACGAAUUCCUUUGACUUUUUUUGCUCUAAUUUAAUAAUUGAUGUUCUCAAUGUCAUAGUUGGUAGGUCUGUUAGGAAGCUGGUCACCUAUUAUAGACUUCAGGUCUAUAAUAAUCCUGUUCUUAUUCGCUUUAAAUGCAAAGGUCCACUUCAGAGCUUGCAGAUAGGUAAGUCCCGCAGUAUUUUCAUCUGAAGAUGUACUCAUAUUUUAACUUAUAAUUCUCGCAAUAUCAUUAGUUCAGUCUUUAAGCCUCAAAUGGUAUAUUGUACAUUAGAAUGGGGCACUUAGAGAAGGCCUUCCAGGUAAUAGAAUUACCAAAAUUUAGUUAAAAUUCCCGUUUGUCUUAAUAUAUAUACUAUGGAUAUUUUUUAAUACGAUCACAAAUGCUUUAGUCCUAGUUCAAACCUAGAUUAACAAAGGACAAGGUUGAUAGUUUUUUGACAUUCUCCGUUUCUAUGGAUUGUAAGUAAACAAGUGAAGAACUUUCAGCCAGCUAAACAGUUGUUGUUAUAAAUGUUAGAUCUUUAUCUAUUUCCAUCUAAAGUUGGGGUAAACUUUAUUGUAUUACACCUAUUUCAUUUUUACAGGAAGCACACAAAUUCUUUACACCUGUUCAGCGUUCUAUUGUACAGCUUAUAUCGACGAAUAAGAAGCACUCGAUGUACCAAAUAGAUGUCUAACGUAACAUUUUUCACAAAUCGGAUUUUCCAUUCUUUCUCUCACAAAGAAAACAGCAUUACAAAACGACCAUAUAAAUAAUUAAUCUUUCAAAUCAUGCUGCUUCUUGGGACCUACGUAGAGACAAUUGUUCAACGAAACCUCAUGUUUUGAUUUUGUUGAUCCAUCGAAAAUAACUCUUAAUUUUCUCGUCAACGGUGCUUCUUUUCUUAAUCCAUGAUGAGGUAAAUAACAACAAAGACUACUCUUCAAUUUGCUUUGAAGCACACUUUCUAUAAAUAAUAGCUGUGUUUAUAUAUGUACUUUUUUUUUAAAUAUUGUUUUGCAAAUUACGGGUAUUUUCUAGUGAAUUAAUUCUUCUCACAGCCUUCCUCCUUGUAAUGAUUAAACUCUAUAUUUUUUUCUUAAAGGUGUAGAAGCACUUCAAUGGUAGCAUCUUGAAGUCUUCGUAACCUACUAUUAAAUAAUUUUCAGUUUGUUUCUCUUCUACUGAAAAUACCGAUUUGAACUUAAUAUGCAGUCUUCCAUCUGCCAGAAUUUUGUUAAAUUUGGUUCUCCUUCAUUAUUUGUCAUUAGAGAAAAUACAAAUCUCUAAUAAAUUCUUCCUUUAAUGUCAGUAGUAAUAAUCCAUACUAAACUUCUACCAUAUCUUAAUGGAUUAUCGAGGAGAAACAAUGGAAUUUUUUCUCCACCAAUUAAUAUAUCUAAAUUUUUUGGAAAGUUGAUUUUAUUGGCUAACAAAAUGUUUUUCAAGUUAGGAUUAUAAACUACUAUUCGAGGGUCACACAUUAUAAUCCGAUAAUUCACUGACUAUAUAAGCUUAAAAUUUCACCAAAUUUAACCACAUGUCUUUUAACGAUAAAAAGUGUGGAUCGUAUUCACUUGUCAACUCUGGCAUAUCAUCUACCCCAGUGAUUUCGAGUAUUAUCAUACUCCUUUUAUUUCUUACAACUGUAAGUAAAAGCUGCACCAGAUUUACUUAGCAGUGGUCUUUAUUAUUUAAUUCUUGAGUAGUACCAUCCUUUCCUAAAUAGAUUCAAUUAUAUUCAAAA